rnacentral:rRNA from 1 species
GUGNNAGAUAAGCCUGCAUGUCUAAGUACAUGCCGUAUUAAGGCGAAACCGCGAAUGGCUCAUUAAAUCAGUUAUGGUUCCUUGGAUCGUACCUUACUACUUGGAUAACUGUGGCAAUUCUAGAGCUAAUACAUGCAGCAGAGCUCCGACCUUCGGGGACGAGCGCUUUUAUUAGACCAAAACCAAUCGGACCUCGUGUCCGUUCCAUGUGGUGACUCUGUAUAACUUUGGGCUGAUCGCACGGGCCCGUCCCGGCGACGUAUCUUUCAAGUGUCUGCCUUAUCAACUGUCGAUGGUAGGUUACGCGCCUACCAUGGUCGUAACGGGUGACGGGGAAUCAGGGUUCGAUUCCGGAGAGGGAGCCUGAGAAACGGCUACCACAUCCAAGGAAGGCAGCAGGCGCGCAAAUUACCCACUCCCAGAACGGGGAGGUAGUGACGAAAAAUAACAAUACGGGACUCUUUUGAGACCCCGUAAUUGGAAUGAGUACACUCUAAAUCCUUUAACGAGGAUCCAUUGGAGGGCAAGUCUGGUGCCAGCAGCCGCGGUAACUCCAGCUCCAAUAGCGUAUAUUAAAGUUGUUGCGGUUAAAAAGCUCGUAGUUGGAUCUCAGUUCCAGACGGGCGGUCCGCCUACCGGUGGUUACUGCCUGUUCUGAACAGCCAGCCGGUUUCUCUUGAUGAUCUUCACCGGUUGUCUUGGGUGACCGGCAAGUUUACUUUGAAAAAAUUAGAGUGCUCAAAGCAGGCGCGACGCCUGAAUAAUGGUGCAUGGAAUAAUGGAAUAGGACCUCGGUUCUAUUUUGUUGGUUUUCGGAACACGAGGUAAUGAUUAAGAGGGACAGACGGGGGCAUCCGUAUUGCGACGCUAGAGGUGAAAUUCUUGGACCGUCGCAAGACGAACACUGCGAGAAUUUUUUUUCCAAGNANAA